rnacentral:tRNA from 1 species
GGGGAAUUAGCUCAGUUGGUAGAGCGAUAGGUUCGCAAUCUAUAGGUCAGGAGUUCGAAUCUCCUAUUCUCCA